rnacentral:piRNA from 1 species
UAGGUUGGGGUAAGGAAAACUGACU